rnacentral:rRNA from 1 species
UGCAAGUCGAACGAUGAAGCCCAGCUUGCUGGGUGGAUUAGUGGCGAACGGGUGAGUAACACGUGAGUAACCUGCCCCUGACUCUGGGAUAAGCCCGGGAAACUGGGUCUAAUACCGGAUAUGACCAUGGGACGCAUGUCUUGUGGUGGAAAGAUUUAUCGGUUGGGGAUGGACUCGCGGCCUAUCAGCUUGUUGGUGAGGUAAUGGCUCACCAAGGCGACGACGGGUAGCCGGCCUGAGAGGGUGACCGGCCACACUGGGACUGAGACACGGCCCAGACUCCUACGGGAGGCAGCAGUGGGGAAUAUUGCACAAUGGGCGCAAGCCUGAUGCAGCGACGCCGCGUGAGGGAUGACGGCCUUCGGGUUGUAAACCUCUUUCAGUAGGGAAGAAGCGAGAGUGACGGUACCUGCAGAAGAAGCGCCGGCUAACUACGUGCCAGCAGCCGCGGUAAUACGUAGGGCGCAAGCGUUAUCCGGAUUUAUUGGGCGUAAAGAGCUCGUAGGCGGUUUGUCGCGUCUGCCGUGAAAGUCCGAGGCUCAACCUCGGAUCUGCGGUGGGUACGGGCAGACUAGAGUGAUGUAGGGGAGACUGGAAUUCCUGGUGUAGCGGUGAAAUGCGCAGAUAUCAGGAGGAACACCGAUGGCGAAGGCAGGUCUUCUGGGCAUUUACUGACGCUGAGGAGCGAAAGCAUG